rnacentral:rRNA from 1 species
UACGAAGGGGGCUAGCGUUGCUCGGAAUCACUGGGCGUAAAGCGCACGUAGGCGGCUUUUUAAGUCAGGGGUGAAAUCCUGGAGCUCAACUCCAGAACUGCCUUUGAUACUGGGAAGCUUGAGUCCGGAAGAGGUGAGUGGAACUCCGAGUGUAGAGGUGAAAUUCGUAGAUAUUCGGAAGAACACCAGUAGCGAAGGCGACUCACUGGACACAUAUUGACGCUGAGGUGCGAAAGCGUGGGGAGCAAACAGG